GAGGGAAAAGUCCCCUUUCUAUUGCUUCCGUGCCUUCCAUAUAUACAGGUACCGAGACCAGAGUCCUAUUACAUCCCAAUUGAAAAACAGAGUUCUAUCACACCUCAAUGACAGAGGUCUAACAUACCUCAACUACUCCUAAAGAUAUUACCGAGGAAAACGGGUACAGAGAGUAACCAAAGGUACCCAGAUAGACAUAUACAUAAUAUAAUCUUCAAUACCCCCCCUCAAGUUGGUGCGUGCAGAUCACAAACGCCCAACUUGCGAAGAAGAUACUCGAAUUGUUGUCUCCCAAGCGCCUUGGUAAAGAUAUCGGCUAACUGCUCAGAACUACGCACAUAAGUGGUAGUAACAUUUCCACUCUGAACUUCAUCACGCACAAAAUGACAAUCCACCUCGAUAUGUUUUGUUCGCUCAUGAAACACAGGAUUAGCCGCUAUAUGCAUGGCUGCUUGACUAUCACAGUAAAGAUGCAUAAGACCAGAAUGUAACACCCCAAGGGAAGCUAGCAGACCCUUCAACCAUCGCAGCUCACAGAUGGUCACAGCCAUAGAGCGAUACUCUGCUUCAGCAGAUGACCUGGACACUGUAUGUUGCUUCUUAGUUUUCCAAGAUAUAGGAGAGUUGCCCAAAAAAACAAGGUAUCCAGUGAGAGAGCGACGUGUCAGAGGACAGCUUGCCCAGUCCGAAUCACAAUAUGCUUGCAGUUGCAAAUUGCAGUCCGAUCGAAGGAGUAUGCCUUGACCAGGGCUGCCCUUCAAAUAGCGAACCAUCCGCAAGGCUGCCUCCCAAUGCUCCUCUUUGGGUUUCUGUAUAAACUGAGCUAGAACAUGGACACCAUAAGACAGCUCAGGGCGUGUUAGUGUCAAAUAAAUUAACCGGCCUACUAACCGCCUAUACUUUUCUGGCUCUACCAAAGGCAUGCUGUCUGCCAUUGCCAACCGAUGAUGUUGCUCCAUCGGAAUUCCUGUUGGCCGAGCACCCAAUAACCCGGCAUCAGCAAUAAUAUCCAGUGCAUACUUUCGUUGACAGAGAAAAAUUCCAGCCUUAUUUCUAGCAACUUCCAAUCCUAAGAAAUAUUUUAAUAUUCCUAAGUCUUUCAUAUGGAAGCAUUGACACAAAUAUUCCUUGAAUUGUUGAAUUGCAGCACUAUUAUUGCCCCCAAUUACAAGGUCAUCAACAUAUACAAGUAUACUCAUUUGAAUGGUAUUCUGACUCAGAGUAAACAAUGAAUAAUCAGAAUGAGAUUGAGAAAAACCGUACUGCCGUAAGGCAUUUGUGAGUUUAGCAAACCAACAACGUGGAGCCUGUCGCAAUCCAUAAAGAGACUUUCGUAGUCUACACACCUUUCCAAAUUGUGGAGUUGUAAAACCCGGAGGCAUCUUCAUGUACACUUCCUCUUCCAAAUCACCAUGCAAGAAUGCAUUGUGAACAUCCAUCUGGUGAAGUUCCCAUUCCUUUGCUGCCGCCACCGCCAAGAACGUGCGUACAGUCACCAUUUUCACAACAGGAGAGAAUGUUUCAUGAUAGUCAAUUCCCUCAACCUGAUUAUUGCCAAGAAUCACCAGACGUGCCUUAUACCGCUCGACAGUUCCAUCUGAGUUAUACUUGAUUUUGUAUACCCAUUUGCUGCCUAUGGCUUUCUUUCCCGGUGGUAGAUCUUCCACCGUCCAUGUUCCAUUAGUCUCAAGUGCAUCGAUUUCAUUCUUCAUGGCUUGGCGCCACCGAGAGUCCUUCACUGCCUCACUAUAAAAUUUUGGCUCCCUACCGGUUGUCACAGCUGCCAAGAAAGACCGAUGAUGCACAGAAAAAUUAUCACAUGUUACAUAAUGCGCUAUAGGAUAAGGAGUACCUGAGGAUGAGAUUGGUUUGGGUGAACACGCUGAAGGGCUUAUGCAUUGAGCUGUGUACGUCACAUAAUCAUUUAAGCGACUAGAUGGGUGCUUCAUUCGUUGACCACGCCCAAGUUGCUCAGCAACCAAUCCAGCUUCUGCGCCUGUGGUGCCCCCCCUGUCUUCGUUAUUCUCAUCAUUGUGAACCCGAUCCGUGAUCUCCGGUAUUAUACUCGCAACCUCUGUAAGUAGAUCAUCUUCCCUUGCAUCAUCCACUUCGUCUUCCACAAGGUCAAAUGGCUCAAGUGAACUUGUCCCCAGGACAUCUUUAGUCGUAUUAGGUGCACUUACUUUCGCAUACGGAAACUCAUCUUCUGAAAACACCACAUCUCGUGAUACAAAAUAGUCACCAUUUUCAAGGUCAUACAACCGCCAUCCCUUCUUACCAAAGGGAUACCCCACAAAUAAACAACGCCGACUCCUAGUGGCAAACUUAUCUCUUUCUCUAUUCAUAUCCCUAGCAUAACACAAACAUCCGAAUACACGAAUAUGUUUGUAACUGGGUGGCUCUCCAAACAAACAUUCAUACGGCGUCUUAUUCCCCAAAAGUUUGGAUGGAGUCCGAUUAAUCAAGUAUCCAGCAGUCAGCACACAUUCUCCCCAAAAUUCAAUAGGGAGAUUCGCCUGAAAACGUAAUGCCCUAGCCACGUUCAAAAUAUGGCGAUGUUUUCUUUCAACCCGCCCAUUCUGCUGGGGUGUACUUACGCAUGAUGUAUGGUGUAUCAUUCCAUUUUCAGCAAAGUAACCAUCCAAGCAAGUGAAUUCCAUGCCAUUGUCACUUCUAACAAUUUUCACAUUCUUGUUAUAUUGUCGUUUGACCAUGGCAAAGAAAUUACGAAGCACACGUUCUACUUCGGACUUAACAACCAACAUAUAUAUCCACACAGCUCUUGAAAAAUCAUCCACAAUAGUUAAAAAAUAUGAGGCACCACACGAAGCAGUAGUUCGAUAGGGUCCCCAUAUGUCACAAUGUAUCAUCUCAAAAAUUGCAUUUGCUUUAUUAUCACUAGGAAAAAAUACUUCUCUAGUCUGCUUGGCUCUUAAACAAAUGUCACAAAGUUUUCCCUUAUCAUAAUUGUUACUGCUAGAACUCACAUCAGGAAGUAAUCCUACUAUUUUUGCAGAUGGGUGUCCCAUUCUUCUAUGCCAUAGCCCACUGAUAUCCAGACAUUUGGUAUUGCACGCUUUGAUUUCUCCCAUGGACUUGAGGUAGUAAAGCCCUUCGCGUCGUUCACCCGCUCCAAUCACCAUCCUCGAAGUGCGGUCCUGUAUAACACAUAAUUUUUUAGUAAAUAAAACAUUGCAAUUUAAUUCGUCAAGCAAUUGUGAUACUGAAAUUAAAUUGCAGUUCAAAUUGGGGACAUAUAGCACUUUCUUCGACUUCAUAUGUUUCCCCAAACGAGCUGACCCUUCUUUCACUGCUAUGGUUUGGUUGCCAUCAGGCAAUCCUACUGCACACCCCGUCAAAUUCUUCAAUUCAGAUAGACAUUCUAAACUUCCAGUCAUAUGGUGAGACGCACCCGAGUCAAUUAUCCAGUUCAAAUAAUGCUUACCCGAUAGCUUUUCAUUGGCACCAGGCUUGCAAGAAUUCAGCAGACUCAGGAAAGCUGCCCACUGUUCACCAUUCAACAAUCCUUGUGCUGUAUGCUCCCUUUCUGCGGUUACUGUUGACGAGGAGGACUGACCAAUCGUCUGAACAGAGUUAGCCCGAUGUGCACCCCCACGUCCACGUCCUGAAUUCUGGUUUCCGCGUCCACGUCCUGAACCGCGUCCAUUUCCUUUGGGCCGAUCACCCCACCAUUCAGGAUAUCCAAUAAGCUGAAAACAGUUUCCAGCAUCAUGCCCGCUGCGAUUGCAAUAUGAACACAGCGCAGACCUGUCCUUUAUUUCAGUCCCAAGUUUCCUACCUCCUGCGUUGGCCUGAACGGCAAAACUCACGGGAUCUCCACGUCCCUCCUUUCCUCUAGACAUGCUUCGGACGCGCUCCUCUUGGCAUAUCAAGGAGUAUGCCUUACCCACACUGGGUAGUGGUUCUGUACCAAGAAUGUUUGAACGAAUUGUUCCAUAUGCCAUGUCAUCCAAACCCAACAAGAACUGAUGAAGUUUCUCUUCCUCACGUUUCUUGUCAAGUUGGACUGAAAGAUUGCAUACGCAUCUUCCACAUUGGCAUGUCGGAAUUUGUUCAUAGUUUGCUAGUUCCUCCCACAAUUGCUUCAAUUUCCCAUAGUAGGUCACAAUUGGAAGUCCCCGUUGUUUCCAUUCUGCAAUCUCUCCUUUGAUUUGUUGUACCCGAGGCCCGUUAGCGACAGAGAACCUUUCUUGGAUGUCUUCCCAAAGGUCCUUUGCAAUUUCCACAUGAGUUAUGGUGGAACGCAAAGCUGGCUCUAUCGUGUUGAGAAUCCAUGACACUACCAUCGAAUUCACGGUCCACCAAUCCUCUAGAUCGACGGAAUCGUCAUCCGGAUGCGUCACCGUUCCAUCAACAAAUCCCAUCUUCUUCUUGGCUCUCAACGCUGUGCGCAUAGCUCGAGCCCAUUCAUCAUAAUUGUCACCUUUCAAUUGUACCUGGGUAAUAAUGGUUCCAGGAUCGUCAUUCGAAGUCAAGAUGUAUGGUGAAACAGAUUUCUUCCCAACAUUCUUGCUUUUCCCUUCGUCAUCCAUGGCUCUGAUACCAUGAAAGAAAUUCUGUGAGGGAAAAGUCCCCUUUCUAUUGCUUCCGUGCCUUCCAUAUAUACAGGUACCGAGACCAGAGUCCUAUUACAUCCCAAUUGAAAAACAGAGUUCUAUCACACCUCAAUGACAGAGGUCUAACAUACCUCAACUACUCCUAAAGAUAUUACCGAGGAAAACGGGUACAGAGAGUAACCAAAGGUACCCAGAUAGACAUAUACAUAAUAUAAUCUUCAAUAACAGUGUUUUCCUUGAAGAUUGUCCUUUUGAACUUCCUGCUGAAGAUAGUUUAUCAGUUCCUUUUUCAAUCUUGAUUGCAUCUUG
rnacentral:lncRNA from 1 species